rnacentral:tRNA from 1 species
AGUCUUAUAUUCAUGAUUAUGAUAUUAAAUUGCAAAUUUAAAGGAGUAAAUAUUUUACUAAGGCUU